rnacentral:rRNA from 1 species
GACAGAGGAUGCAAGCGUUAUCCGGAAUGAUUGGGCGUAAAGCGUCUGUAGGUGGCUUUUCAAGUCCGCCGUCAAAUCCCAGGGCUCAACCCUGGACAGGCGGUGGAAACUACCAAGCUGGAGUACGGUAGGGGCAGAGGGAAUUUCCGGUGGAGCGGUGAAAUGCAUUGAGAUCGGAAAGAACACCAACGGCGAAGGCAGGUCUCUGGGCCACUACUGACGCUGAGAAGCGAAAGCAUGGGGAGCGAACAGG